AAUAUCUUAAAAAUUGUUUAACCUGAGUCAUUUAACCAUGUUACAGUGGCAGGAGUGGGGGGCACCUGUGUCCUGUGCCCCAUGGACACACAUCUAGUUUGUUAGACCGAUUUGAAUAUUUUAUGUGUGUCCCCAAUCAAUUUUCAGUCACCUUCAGUGGGAAAAAGUUACCUUAAGAAAGACAAUUUCUGACUGUUUAACAAAUACAUGGGAUAUAUUAAUUUCCUGGCAACAUUUUAUACUAACUACCUGUAUAACAACCAGGCAUUUUCCUUGGUUUUACUGAUAAAAGAAAUUAUGCCAUCACUUCCUGCUAAUCAAACAUUAAGGUAGUUCUGCACGAUGGGAUCAAAUUUUUUUCUACAUUGUAGAAUUUGAUUAAACCCCGAUUUUUUUAAACUUUAGAAUAUACGUAGAAAAUUUGGCAAAUAAAAAGAUAUGGUCAGUGCCUGUUGAUUUUCAGACAUUCUUUGGAAUUAUUUAAUGUGUCAAACAUUUAAUAUAUUUUUUUCUUUAGAAGAAGAAGAAGAACAUUUUAUUGACUUAAACUGUACACAGUUUCUCGUCAUGCAUAUGUACAUACAAUGAACAUAACAAUCAGGUCAUAGAUACUGUAAAAAAAAUGACUACAAUAAAUAUACACAAGUUAUACAUUGGUAUGAGGGUGGUCUCACUUAGAUUUAAACACUAUAUUGACACUCUGUCCAUCAUAAAAUCUAAUUAUUCUAGCAAGAAAGAUAGUAACUUUGCCGUUUUAGUAAAUUUACUCCCAGAUUGCCAUUAAUUCAUUAAAACAAUUUUCAUUUCCAUACACCUAGUCCAGGCUUUAUUUUGUUAUCUGGAUAAAUGACAAGAUUACUCCAAACCAGGCUGUCCGGAGCAGUCUAUGAGAGAUUAAAAUCAAAACUGAAUAUUAGGCCUGUGUUUAAUACUUGAAAUUCUUGAAAUAUUUUAUAACAUUUGUUAACCAGGUUUUCAAAAAAGAUGGUUAUUUGACAUUACCAUGGAGACUUUUUAAGAAAAUAUUUGUCUGCAGGUAAGAUAUCUAUAUUUAUCAUCAAAUUAUGUUAAAAGUCAAAAGGAACCAUUUAAAUGCAUAAUUGUGCAAGGAAGUAAAAUCAGAAAAGAAUAUGAAUAAACAGUGGUUUUAUUUCAUCAAGCUUAUAUUAACCAAGUACUGUAACACUUAUUAACCAAGUAAGUACCUGUAUUAAAAGAUUUCUUACAUCUGAGCUUUCACCAGACUUUCAGUACAUACUUUAAUUUUCUGUGAAUAUCGUGUUUAGAGCAGUUUAGUCUCUGUUAUCUUUAUGGCCAUUUUAUGUCAGUUUACAUUUUUUCAGUUCAUUUACUGAUUUUUUUGUUAAGCCUGCAUUAGACAGCUAUGAGAAAGAUCCACUGUACAUGUUUUUCCCCCAGUUAGUCUUCACCUAUCCCUGAUGUGGGUAGGUUUUAGUUAUUGUGUAGGCCAUCCAGUGUUUUACAAAAGGAAAGCAUCAAAUUUUUUUUGGCCCGAAAUAUAAUGGAGAAAUAUAUGGUAAUUCAUACCAAAAAUAUUAAAUGUAUACUUAGGGAACUGCAAUUGAUUGCCAAAGAACAAAGAUAAUUGUUAUUAAUAGUCUGGUUUAACAAAUUUGACUUUCCCCAAAUUUUUGUGUUAGAACACUUACAAUACAGACCCUGGCUCAAACUAGAAUCAGUUUGGUUGUAUGGCUUACCUAACUUAUAGUGUACAUUACAUGUAUCAUUCUUGUUUUUUAUUCAUUUGCUUGUAACUGUAGGAAUGUAUUCUGUAGAAUGCCAGCAUUGCUGAUUAUAAAUAGCACUGUUGAAAAUAAAAUAUUAUUAAAAAAAAAAAAGAAUAUUACUGUUUAUAAGAAUUGAUUCUUUAAUAAAAUGUUUAUUUAUA
rnacentral:lncRNA from 1 species